rnacentral:lncRNA from 1 species
GUCUGCAUAGUCUGCUGGAGAAGCCUUUACUGUGGAGGUAAGCAGGAUGCUAAUGGGACGCUGUCACACACACGGACCGUGCCCCGUUGGUGUGUCGCCGUGGCAGGGGAACAACAGGAGAGAGCAUUGCCUUCCACCUGCAAUCCCUGCACUUCGGUGAGAACUAAAUUAAGUGGGUCAAAUGCCUGUCGUGUUUCUGUUCCUGUUUGUCUGCCUCAAUCGUGCAAACUUGUAGUUUUCUCUCAAUUUCUUCCCCUGGGCAAAAUAAUGCAAAUUAUGUUUUAUUCUUUGAAAAAAGGGGGAUCCCCCCUCAGAAAAGGGAGGUGCGAAAUAAGAUGCAAGUAGUGAUGUGUUUGUUCU